GCCCGACCAUUACAUGUUUACUGCCCGGUGUUCCGGACCGUUCUUGUCUGCCCAACCAUCUGGUCUGUGAUGGACAUCCAGACUGUAUCUUACAAGAGGACGAGCAGGGGUGUGGUGAUAACCCUGAACAAAACCGUGAUGACCAACCGACAGCAGAGCCUACAGGUGGUCCAAAAACGACAGAAGGACCUACGGAUCCAAAGGAAACAAGCGAAGAAACAACAGCCGGUCAAGAACCCAGUGAAGGGACAACGGGUGGUCAAGAACCUACAUAUGGCCAUGAACCAGCUGCUGAACCAACCAGCUUUGAAGAACGAAAAGUUACAGAUUUCUAUGCGAGAAGCCAUGGGCACAAGAACGGGGCCGUGUUUUGGAUAGCUGUUGGCGAACUAGUAGCUCAUGUUUUCUUUGACAAUGCUUUGUAGACAACACAGUAACUUUUUAAUCUCACAUAGUAGGAGUAUUUGUCCAUUGGAUUUUUCCAAGUUUUCCACGCCGUUUGUGUGAUUUGAUGGUGGAAAAAAAGAUGGUGGUGUGUAAAGAUGGCAUCUGUAAACUUUGUGGCUUUGAUUUGUAUAUCCAUAUUCAUUAGGUUACUACUGGCAAUAUCGGUCUAUAUUCUAUUGAAUGUUUGCUUAAAUAUUAUUUAGUCGAUAGGUGUGGAAUUGGCUUUAAUGUAAACUGUACAAUAACCAAGGUCUAUGCAUAAAAGCGCACUUAAUGAAUAUCGAUGUGUAUUUUUACUGCGUUGCGGCCAGCACUAAGUUUAUUAUAUAUAGGUUAACACUAUAGAUUUUGGGAUUGUCAUCGCAAAUAUGAAUUGGACGGAAAGGACAUCAUUUGACAGAUUUCUGCGAUAUACAUCCAUACUUGAGCCAGUUUUUUUAGUUUCCUAUUACCUUGUAAUUUUCCUAAUAUGUAAUAUGUUUAGCUGUAGCAUGAUUCUACGUUAUGUUUUAUUAUCAAUUGCGCUUCAUUUUUCAAAGCAAAAAUAUAAGGCUGACCACUUCAUUUCCGGAAUGUACAUCUUAACCAAGCACAUGAAUGAAUACUCUCUGAGUUUGAGUUUGAGUUUAUUUAUUCGCACGUAGAACACAAAAACAGAGAAAUGUACAUUGGAUAAAACAAAUACUGUGCGGGAGGAAGGGAGGAAGCCUAACGGCUUAUGCGAGCCCUCCUCCUAUAACGUAUGCAAUUCUAAUGAAAUAAUUGAGGUGAUAAACAAUUGAUAAUAAAACAAGGAAAUGUAUCAACUAAAUUAACACAAAAAAGCCAUCAAAUAGAGAAGCUAAAUAACAAUUAAAUUAUUAAAAGCAGGGAAAUAUAUCAACUAAAUAACAACUUAAGCUAUCAAAUGGAGAAGUUGAGGAAAAAAUUAUGGGCAACAAUUUAAAUAUUGAAAUUAUCGUAACACAAAUGAAGCUAUAUAAUAUAAUAGAGAAGCUAAAGUUAACGAAUUAAGAAAAAACAAGGAUAUAUCGUAACUAAAGUGACACAAAUAAAGCUAUUAUCAAAUGACUAAAACAAGGAAAUGUAGCAGCUAAAUACCUAAUGAUUAAAACAACAAUUAAAUUAUUAAAAACAGGGAAAUAUAUCAACUAAAUAACAACUUAAGCUAUCAAAUGGAGAAAUUAAGAUAAGAUGUCAAAUGUCAGUGGGAAAGGAAAGUAGGUGAUUUUUUAGAUUGCGUUUAAAACUAAUUAUUGAUGUUAAACAUUUUAGAUGGAGGGGGAGAUUAUUCCAAUUAAUUAUACAUUUGUAUUUUACACUCAUUUGGGCUACUGACGUUCUAACUAGGGGAAUAUGGAAAUGAGCACUUUGUCGAGUUUGGUAAUUAUGAAAAUGAGAAUUAAGAUUUAGAAGACCAUUAAAUGUUUCUGGAAGAGAACAGUUUAGGAAUUUAAACGUAAAUAGCAUCAGAUGAAGUCUGUUGAUAUCAAAAAUAUUCAAAAUCUUAAGUUUUGUAAACAGAGGUGCAGAAUGUGCAUGAAAACUGGCGCCCGUGGCUGAACGAACAAAUCUUUUUUGGAGCAAUAUCAGGGGCUGUAGUGUGGUUUUGUAGGCGCAUCCCCAGACUAUAUUCCCGUAGGUUAGAUACGGGUAUAUUAAACUAUUAUAUAUGGUAAUAAUGGUUUUUUGAGUGAGAAUAUGUUUAAGUUUUCCAAUGAUACCGAUAGUUUUUGAAAUCUUUUUACCUAACAUAGUUAUAUGCGAUUUCCAGGUCAGUCGAUCAUCAAUGAUUAUACCUAAGAAUUUGGCUUGACUCUCUUGAGACAGGGGCACACUUUUUAAAAAGAUUUUGGCACUUUUGUUAUAGGUUUUAUUUCUAUUACAGAAAAUUAGAUAAUAUGUCUUCUUAACAUUUACUGAUAAUUUAUUUGCCUCAAACCACGACAUAACCUUUUU